rnacentral:rRNA from 1 species
UGGGAGCCCCACCACUAAGCCAGUGGUGAACUCCACAUACGCAUCCUUUGCUGAGGAUACGGUUAACGGAGCGAAAGCGACGUUCAACCGUAAAAGAAGCAGAGGGGGCUUAGUGGUGGGGUGACUGCGUACCUUUUGUAUAAUGGGUCAGCGACUUAUAUUCUGUAGCAAGGUUAACCGAAUAGGGGAGCCGGAGGGAAACCGAGUCUUAAUUGGGCGUUAAGUUGCAGGGUAUAGACCCGAAACCCGGUGAUCUAGCCAUGGGCAGGUUGAAGGUUGGGUAACACUAACUGGAGGACCGAACCGACUAAUGUUGAAAAAUUAGCGGAUGACCUGUGGCUGGGGGUGAAAGGCCAAUCAAACCGGGAGAUAGCUGGUUCUCCCCGAAAGCUAUUUAGGUAGCGCCUCGUGAAUUCAUCUCCGGGGGUAGAGCACUGUUUCGGCUAGGGGGCCAUCCCGGCUUACCAACCCGAUGCAAACUGCGAAUACCGGAGAAUGUUAUCACGGGAGACACACGGCGGGUGCUAACGUCCGUCGUGAAGAGGGAAACAACCCAGACCGCCAGCUAAGGUCCCAAAGUCAUGGUUAAGUGGGAAACGAUGUGGGAAGGCCCAGACAGCCAGGAUGUUGGCUUAGAAGCAGCCAUCAUUUAAAGAAAGCGUAAUAGCUCACUGGUCGAGUCGGCCUGCGCGGAAGAUGUAACGGGGCUAAACCAUG